rnacentral:rRNA from 1 species
AACUUUCAACAACGGAUCUCUUGGCUCUCGCAUCGAUGAAGAACGCAGCGAAAUGCGAUAAGUAAUGUGAAUUGCAGAAUUCAGUGAAUCAUCGAAUCUUUGAACGCACCUUGCGCUCCUUGGUAUUCCGAGGAGCAUGCCUGUUUGAGUGUCAAUA